CCUACGGGAGGCAGCAGUGAGGAAUAUUGGUCAAUGGGCGAGAGCCUGAACCAGCCAAGUCGCGUGAAGGAUGAAGGCUCUAUGGUUUGUAAACUUCUUUUAUAUGGGAAUAAAGUGAGGAACGUGUGCCUUUUUGUAUGUACUAUAUGAAUAAGCAUCGGCUAACUCCGUGCCAGCAGCCGCGGUAAUACGGAGGAUGCGAGCGUUAUCCGGAUUUAUUGGGUUUAAAGGGUGCGUAGAUGGUUUAUUAAGUCAGUGGUGAAAGUUUGUGGCUCAACCAUAAAAUUGCCGUUGAAACUGGUAGACUUGAGUACAGUAGAGGUGGGCGGAAUGCGUGGUGUAGCGGUGAAAUGCAUAGAUAUCACGAAGAACUCCGAUUGCGAAGGCAGCUUACUAGACUGCAACUGACACUGAUGCACGAAAGCGUGGGGAUCAAACAGGAUUAGAUACCCUUGUAGUC
rnacentral:rRNA from 1 species